GGAAUAUGGGGCUAGGUUUUCAAGGAGAGAAAGGAGUCAAGGGGGAUGUUGGCCUCCCUGGCCCAGCAGGACCUCCACCAUCUACUGGAGAGCUGGAAUUCAUGGGAUUCCCCAAAGGGAAGAAAGGAUCCAAGGGUGAACCAGGGCCUAAGGGUUUUCCAGGCAUAAGUGGCCCUCCAGGCUUCCCGGGCCUUGGAACUACUGGAGAAAAGGGAGAAAAGGGAAUCCCUGGUUUGCCAGGACCUAGGGGUCCCAUGGGUUCAGAAGGAGUCCAAGGCCCUCCAGGGCAACAGGU
rnacentral:lncRNA from 1 species